UUUUGAACAAGAACACAAGAGUGGAGGGAGGUUGCAAAUAGCAUAGAGUGAAACCCAGGUUAGAUAUCAUAGAUGUUCUACAUUGACAUCAUAAAAGGAAGACUUAAUUGAGAAAAUACAGACACAUCUUUUAGAAAAAGGUAUCUUCCAACAGCAGCCAGAUGCCAGUGGCUCUGACUUUGUAAAGGAGAACUGGAGUUUGUUCUACCAUGGCACACCACUGUGGCUCCUACUGUGGCCAGAGUCCCUAUUUUCUAGGUUGGGUCAGAGAUCUUAAACCAAGGAAGUCACAUCCAUCCUGACAAGGAGAGGAAAGGUCCAGGACUAAACUCUGUUUUCCAAGACUGAGUAUAGUUGAGAUGAAAACAAAUGAAAUACAUUCCUGGGAACCUUAUCAGUCAUUUUUCUAACGUGUAUAUCCACAAAGUGAAAAGAUGAGCACAAGUCUUCCUGCAUCCUUUCUGUUACCUGUGUCUAAAUGCCGUUCUGAAAAGCUACAAAGUAGCUGAAAGAAAUUAUGAUUUUUCAAAAAAGCUUAAUUCACUGAGAGACUGCAGACAUCUUAAACUGAAAUCUCCAGUCGGUGGAGAAGCAGGACUGUUGUCUUCCUAUACUUGCUAAGCAAGAGGACCACUUCUGAUACUGAGGAAGCCACUUGGCCACUGCUCUCAGUCACUUUUAGUUCCUGUAGGCUUGGCUGACAAAAAUUUCUUCAGAUCUACUGGAAUUAAGAGAUCUAAGGAAGCAAGUGGUAUGUAUGUUUGCAUACCAUCCCAUCACAGUCUCAGCUGAAUAGGACAAAUCUCAAAUAAGGCCAAAGAAUACAGAUGACACCAAUCAGAGUGAAAAAAGAUGAGAAAGAAUUUAGAUUCUGAGUCUGAAACAAUUGCUCAGUGACUCAAGACUCAAAUGUAAUGAGGAAGGAAGGAAGAAUUGCAAGAAAGAAAGAUUUACACAGCCAUGGAUAAAGAUAAAGUUGAGCAGAACUAUCUGGUCUCAGUUCACAGGAAUUUCUUCAAACCUGUAAUUUGACUUUUACUUUGUGAGAAGACAUAUGUGCUGACUCUGACAUUUGAUGAAAGUCAGAGCAAAAGUAGUAAACUUCAAGGUGCUUUAUGUCAAAACUAUGAGUCUGAAUCACGACCUUACCAUCAUCAGUCUUUACAGGAGAAAGGAAGCAAAAUGAAACUUUGAUGUUGAUCUCUCAAGUGAUAACCCUGUACUCCUGUGUCUUCAGAUGUUGUCAUUUACACCAGUACCUUGCUGGCUUAGCCCAUAACUGAUUCUCUUUCAUAAUCCUUUUUCAGAGUUAUGGAUGACUAAACAAGACCAAGACAAUCAUGUACUGUAUCUUAUUUCAGAAUUAAACAACUGGAAGGAGUAUGGAGAAGAGCUUCUCUAACUAUACAAGGUCUACAAAGACUGCUUUACUGAAAGAUGUUAAAAAUGCAAUAUUAGCUCUUUAAAGGGAAGAUCAAAGAAUAUUUGAUUACAACAUAUAAACUCCUUCUUGAAGAGACACUUGUGAUAUUGAAAUAAGAGCAACAAGAACUACAAGACCAGUGGCAAGAAAUUAAAUCCACACAUAUCUACAUUAGAUACAUAAACAGUUCUCUAGUCAUGGAAAUUAAAACAGCAAGGAUAAAAGUGGACCAGAGCUUUUACUCCAAGCUUGUAUACCUCAUGUAAUACAGCUUUCAAGCAGAAGCUGUCUGCAGUGUAAAGAUGAACAUGUGGCUUAUGGAAAAAUAAAAACUUCACAGAGAAAAAUUGUGACAUGAAGAAAAAAAAAAAAAGAGAGAGAACAAAUGCCCUUGAUAUGAAAGAAUAUUUCACCUCCGGUCAGUUCAACCUAUAUGAGCUACAUUUGAGUGUGGUUUUUUCACUUAUAUGUCCUGACUGAAACAGUGUUUUGUAGUUUGGUGCAAUCAGUUCAUUGUAUAGCUGCUGCUCCUCCUGCCUUGCUAAUUGCUAACAGCAGCAACAUAGAGAGUGUGCCACAGACACCGGUGAGCCAGUGGCAGUCCUCUGAGGCAUCCAUUGUGCCUCAUGCUGCUCCUGUCCCGCUGUCACAGUUUGGGAUGUUCUAUGUGACUCAGCAGAUGCCGGUGAGAAGGACCUCAUUGACUUCUGCAGUCCUUGGGUUUGUCCUGCUCUGUUCCCUUGCGGAAAGAACCUUAACCUUUAUUUCAGGUUUUGAUAGGCACUGUACUUUUUACUAAUCAGAAACAAAAGAGAAGUUAGCAUUUUCACCCUUUUUGCUACUUUCUUUCUGAUAGCGCUUCAAAUGUAUUUAAUUCCUCCCCUAUGAACCAGUUAGCAGGUAAUAAACGUUUAUUCUCUG
ensembl:lncRNA